rnacentral:rRNA from 1 species
CGACUACAUGAAGCUGGAAUCGCUAGUAAUCGUAGAUCAGCAUGCUACGGUGAAUACGUUCCCGGGUCUUGUACACACCGCCCGUCACACCACGAGAGUUUGUAACACCCGAAGCCGGUGGAGUAACCUUUUAGGAGCUAGCCGUCGAAGGUGGGACAAAUGAUUGGGGUGAAGUCGUAACAAGGUAGCCGUAUCGGAAGGUGCGGCUGGAUCACCUCCUUUCUAAGGA